CAGUCGCCGCGGGAACACGAAGGGUGCAAGCAUUAAUCGGAAUUACUGGGCGUAAAGGGUGCGUAGACGGUUGUUUAAGUCUAUUGUGAAAUCCCCGGGCUCAACCUGGGAAUUGCAGUGGAUACUGGGUCACUAGAGUGUGGUAGAGGAUAGUGGAAUUUCCGGUGUAGCAGUGAAAUGCGUAGAGAUCGGAAGGAACAUCUGUGGCGAAGGCGACUAUCUGGACCAACACUGACACUGAGGCACGAAAGCGUGGGGAGCAAACAGGAUUAGAUACCCCUGUAGUCCCUGUCUCUUAUAC
rnacentral:rRNA from 1 species